rnacentral:lncRNA from 1 species
GUGCGUUGUUGUAAUUUCUGCCGGUCCUGUUCGGUUUUCAAGAAGGGGGAAGGGACUUGGCGGAGAUCGCCUGCUCCUGGUCGCAGCUGAACCCACGGCUUCUCCCUGCCUUCCCGGGCCAAGGAAUCUUUUCCCUCACUCAGCUACCCGCACGCCAGCUGCCAGCUUCUUGGAGAAGGACCACACCUGUGCUUAUUCUCGCUUUGGAGGAGAGUCUCUCACCUGCUGCUUCUAACACGUGAAGGAGUGGAAAUACCAGUGCAGUCCUA